GACAUGGCAGGAAUCCUAAAGAGAUUGGGAGUGCUCGAAAGAGAACCUGCACACAGGUGCUGCAUGGCUGUCGUCAGCUCGUGUCGUGAGAUGUUGGGUUAAGUCCCGCAACGAGCGCAACCCUUGCCAUUAGUUGCUACGAAAGGGCACUCUAAUGGGACUGCCGGUGACAAACCGGAGGAAGGUGGGGAUGACGUCAAGUCCUCAUGGCCCUUAUAGGUGGGGCUACACACGUCAUACAAUGGCCGGUACAGAGGGUAGCCAACCCGCGAGGGGGGAGCCAAUCCCACAAAGCCGGUCGUAGUCCGGAUCGCAGUCUGCAACUCGACUGCGUGAAGUCGGAAUCGCUAGUAAUCGUGGAUCAGCAUGUCACGGUGAAUACGUUCCCGGGUCUU
rnacentral:rRNA from 1 species